AGCAAGGCGGAGAGCUUAAAAGCUCUUUUUGCACUAGGUUUUCCCAGUGCAAAAAUAGCUUUUAAGUUCUCCACCUUGCU